CGAGUAGCUGGGAUUACAGGCGUGCACCACCACAUCCUGCUAAUUUUUGUAUUUUUAGUAGAGAUGGGGUUUCUCCAUGUUGGCCAGGCUGGUCUUGAACUCCUGGCCUCAAGUGAUCCACCCACCUUGGCAGCCCAGAGUGCUGGGAUUACAGGCGUGAGCCACUGGGCGCAGCCCCUCUCUGGAAUCUCUAACCCCACAAAGGCGGAAAUUGCAGAGAGAAUGAGCACAGGCUGCUUCCCCACCAAUGGCUAAGCAGGUCCUGCCAGCUCAUGUCUCCUGCCAGCUCAUGUCUCCUGCCAGCUCAUGUCUCCUGCCAUGGGGGUCCUGAGGACAUGCGUGGCAAGCCCCUUGACAGUUGGGAGGAUGGGGUCUCAUGGUCCUAUCCUAAAACAAAUAGCAAACCAGCGGUCACAAAACAGGCUGUGGUACAUCCAUACAAAGGAAUGUCAUUCAACAAUCAAAAGACAUGGGCUGUCAAGGCACAAAAAGACAGAGGAACCUUCAAUGCACAUUGUUAUGCCAUAGAAGCCAACCUGAAGAGGCUACAGAGUAUAAUUCCAACCAUAUGACAUUCUGGAAAAGGCAAAACUGAAGAAUAUAAAUAGAUGAGUCAUUGCCCAGGAUUAUAGGGAAGAGGAGGAGGGAUGAAUAGUAAAACUAUUCUGUAUGGCCAGGCGCGGUGGCUCAUGCCUGUAAUCCGACCACUUUGAGAGGCCAAGGUGGGUGAGGUCAGGAGUUCAAGACCAGCCUGACCAAUAUGGUGAAACCCCGUCUCUACUAAAAAUACAAAAAUAGCUGGGCACAGUGGCGUGCACCUGUAGUCCCAGCUACUUGGGAGGCUGAGGCAGGAGAAUCACUUGAACCCAGGAGGCGGAGGUUGCAGUGAGCCAAGAUCGCACCACUGCACUCAAGCCUGUGCGACAGAGUGAGACUCUGUCUCAAAACAAACAAACAAACAAAACUAUAUGACACUGUAUUGGUGGAUAUAUGAUAUGCAUUUGGCAAAAAUAUACAGUAACACAAAGCAUGAAACUAUAAAACCAUGGACCUUAGUUAAUAAUAGUUCCUGAAAGGAAUGCAGUCCUGUUGAUACCUAGAUUUUAGCCCAGUGAGAGCUUAUCAGACUUCUAUCUUACAGUACUGUAAGAUAUUAAAUUUAUGUUGUUUAAUGUUUAAACAGUACAGUCUGGUAACUUAUUAUAGCAGCAAUAAAAAAAUGGAUACAUUGAGUAUGUUACAUUUCUUGAUUCAGCAGUUGCAACUAAAUAUCCUGUGGGAGAACAAAGGGGUCAUUUUUGUAACAGAUGUGUUGACUUCAUGCUGCCUAAAGCUGUCAGAUCUUACCAAUAAGCAUACUUCCUACAGUAUAGCAAGUGGUUUGUCAAAUCAUGACAACAAAAAACAUCCUCCCAGCUCUUAGAUACUUUAAUUCAAAAGUUAGUUUCAAGCUGGGCAUGGUGGCUCACACCAGUAAUCCCAGCACUUUGAGAGGCCAAGGCAGGCGGAUCACCUGAGGUCAGGAGUUUGAGACCAGCCUGGCCAACAUGGCGAAACUCUGUCUCUACUAAAAAUACAAAAAUUAGCCAGGCCUGGUGCUGCAUGCCUGUAAUCCCAGCUACUCAGGAGGCUGAGGCAGGAGAAUCACUUAAACUUGGGAGGCAGAGUUUGCAAUAAGCCGAGAUCGCACCAUUGCACUCCAGCCUGGGUGACAGAGCGAGACUCUGUCUCAAAAAAAUAAUAAUAAUAAUAUUUUUUAUUUAGCUGGGUGUGGUGAUACACACCUAUAGUGUGUUUGGGGCCACUUUUCACCUUCCUCGAAAUGUACAGAAGCACUUAAUGAGAUUUUUUCUUUCUUUUUUUCUCUUUUUUUAAGACAGGGUCUUACUCUGUCACCCAGGCCCGAGUGCAGUGGCAUGCCCUCAGCUCACUACAACCUCCGCUUCGCAGGCUCCAGUGAUUCUCCUGCCUUGGCCCCCCGAAUAGCUGGGACUACAGGCAUGCGCCACCAUACCCCACUAAUAUUUUGUAUUUUUAGUAGAGAUGGGGUUUGGGCACGUUGCCCAGGCUGGUCUCAAACUCCUGAGCUCAGGCAAUGUGCCCAUCUCAGCCUCCCAAAUUGCUGGCAUUACAGGCAUGAGCCACCGUGCCCAGCCAAGAUUUUCAAUUAGAGAAAUGGAAAGAGAUAUCUUCCUUAAACAUGUGCCUACAAGAUGGCUAUUAUCAUUUCUGACCAUAGAAAAGAUGUCAAAAUGGGCCGGGCACAGUGGCUCAUGCCUGUAAUCCUAGCACAUUGGGAGGCCAACGCGGUCGAAUCACUUAAGGCCAGGAGUUUGAGACCAGCCUGGGCAACAUGGGAAAACCCCGCCUCCGCUAAAAAUACAAAAAAUUAGCCAGGCAUGAUCGCGGGCACCUUGUAAUCCCAGCUACUCGGGAGGCUAAGGCGGGAGGAUCGCCUAAGCCCGGGAGGUUCAGGCUGCAGUGAGCUGAGAUCAUGCCACUGCACUCCAGCCUGGGCGAUACAGCAAGACCCUGUCUCUUUAAAACAUAAAUAAAUGGGCUGGGCGCAGUGGCUCACGCCUGUAAUCCCAGCACUUUGGGAGGCCAAGGUGGGUGGAUCACCUGAGGUCGAGAGUUCAAGACCAGCCUGACCAACAUGGAGAAACCCCGUCUGUACUAAAAAUACAAAAUUAGCCAGGCGUGGUGGUGCAUGCCUGUAAUCCCAGCUACUCGGGAGGCUGAGGCAGGAAAAUCACUUGAACCCGGGAGGCGGAGGUUGCGGUGAGCCAAGAUUGUGCAAUUGCACUCCAGCCUGGGCAACAAGAGAGAAACUCCAUCUCAAAAAUAAAAUAAAAUAAAAUAAAUAAAUAAUGCACAUUUUAGAUAGAUAUAGCCUAUACCGUGAAUUUAUAGUGCAAAGGACUUCAUUGACAAAUACCUGGUCUUUCAAAGCAAGCUUAUAGAUUUAGUACAUUGAACACUUUUGGAGUGCUGGGAAAUAAAGCCUACAAAUCAAAAAACCUGUUGUUGCCAGUAAGUAAAAUCUUUUUUUUUUUUUUUUUUUUUUUGAGACUGGGUCUCACUCUGUCACCAUCAGUCAGGCACAAGGGUUCCAGUUGCUCCACAUCCUUUGCCAACAUUCAUUAUUUUCUGAGUUCUUUUAUUAUAGACCCCCUAAUAGAUGUGAAGUGAUACCUCACUGUGCUUUUGAUUUGCAUUUCCCUAAUGACUAAUGAUGUUGAGCAUCUUGCCAUAUGCUUCUUGGCCAUUUGUAUAUCUUCUUUGGAGAAAUGCCUAUUCGAGUCUUUUGCCCAUCCUUGAAAUGGGUUGUUUGUUUUUUGUUGUUGAGUUUUCGAAGUUCUUUAUGUAUUCUGCAUAUUAAUCCCUUAUCAGAUACAUGAUGUGCAACUAUUUUCUCCCAUUCUCUAAGUUGUCUUUUUGCUUUCUUGACAGUAUCCUUUGAUGCACAAAAGUUCUUAAUUUCAACGAAGUUUAGUUUGUCUGUUUUUGCUCUCAUUGCCUAUACUUUUGUUGUCAUAUCCAUGAAAUCACUGCCAAAGUCAGUAUCAUGAAGAUUUUCUCCACUGUUUUCUUCUAAGGGUUUUAUAGUUUAGCUCUCAAGUUAAGGUGUUUGAUCCUGAGUUAAUUUUUCUAUACAGUAUUAGGUAAGGGUGCAAUUUCAUUCUUUUGCAUGUAAAUUUCCAAUUUUCCUAGCACCAUUUGUUGAAAAGACUGCCCUUUCUCCAUUGAAUGGUCUCGGCACCCUCGUCAAAAAUCCCUUAUUUCUGGGCUUUCUAUUCUAAGCCAUUUGUCUAUAUGUCUGUCCCUAUGCCAGAACUACACUGUUUUAAUUACUGUAGACUUGUAGUAACUUCAAAGUCAGAAAGUGUGAGUCCUCCAAUUUUCUUCUUCUCCUUCUCCCUCUUAUUCUUCUCCUUCCCCUUCUCCUUCUUCAAGAUUCUUUUGGCUAUUCGGGGCCCCUUGCAAUUUCAUAUGAAAAUGCUGUUGGAAUUUUGAUAAGGAUUAUGCAGAAUCUGUAGAUUACUUUGAGUAGUACUGACAUCUUAAUGAUGAGUCUUCCUAUCCAUGAAUAUAGGAUGUCUUUCCAUUCAUUCAAGUCUUCUUUAAUUUCUUUCAGCAAUACUUUAUAGUAUUAAUUGUGCCAGUCUUUCACCACCUUUGUUAGAUUUAUUCCUAAGUAUUGUUUUAUAUGCCAUUGUAAAUGGAAUUGCUCUUCCUUUUCAGAGUGUUCAUUGCUGGUGUAUAGAAACACAACUGCUUUUUUGUGUGUUGAUUUUGUACCCUGAAACUUUGUUGAAUUCAUUUAUUAGCUUUAGUAGCUUUCUUGUUAAUUCUUUGGGAUUUUCUAUAUUUACGAUCAUGCCACCUAUGAAUAGAAAUAAUUUUGGGGCCGGGCACGGUGGCUCAUGCCUGUAAUCCCAGCACUUUGGGAGGCCGAGGCGGGUGGAUCACGGGGUCAGGAGUUCAAGACCACCCUUGCCAACAUGGUGAAACCCCAUCUCUAGUAAAAAUGCAAAAAUUAGCCGAGCAUGGUGGCACAUGCCUGUAAUCCCAGCUACUCGGGAGGCUGAAGCAGGAGAAUUGCUUGAACCCAGAAGAUGGAGGUUGCAGUGAGCCAAGAUCAUGCCACUGCACGCCAGCCUGGGUGACAGAGCAAGACUCCAUCUCAAAAAAAAAAAAAGAAAGAAAUCAUUUUGGCUGGGCAUGGUGGCUCACACCUGUAAUCCCAGCACUUUGAGAGGCCAAGGUGGGCAGAUCACUUGAAGUCAGGAGUUCAAGGCCAGCCUGGACAACAUGGUGAAAUCCCGUUUCUACCGGGAGAAUUGCUUGAACCCAGGAGAUGGAGGUUGCAGUGAGUCGAGAUUGUGCCACUGCACUCUAGCCUGGGUGACAGAAUGAGACCCUAGAAAGAAAGAAAGAGAGAAAGAGAGAGGAGAGAGGAGAGGAGAGAGGAGGAGAGGAGAGAAGAGAAAAGAGGAGGGAAGGCAGGAAGGAAGGAUUGAAGGAAGGAAGAAAGAAAGGACAGAAGGAAGGAAGGAAGAGAAGGAAGGAAGGAAGGUUGGGAGGGAGGGAAGGAAAGGAAGAGAAUUUUACCUCUUCCUUUUCAAUUUGGAUGCCUUUUAUUUCUUUUUCUUGUCUGAUAGCUCCGGCUAGCACUUCCAGUACAAUAUUGAAUAGUAGCAAUGAAAGUAGGCAUCCUUGUCCUGAUCCUGAUCUUAGGGAAGAAAAAUUUUAGUCUUUUACCACUGAGAAUCAUGUUAGCUGCAGAUUUUUUCUAAACACUCUUUAUCAUGUUGCGGAAUUAUCCCUUUAUUCCUAGCUUUCUGGGUUUUUUUAUUAUUAUAAUGAAAGGGUUUUGAAUUUUUUCAAAUGCCUUUUCUGUGUCAGUUGAAAUGAUUGUAUAGGGUUUUUUUUCCCUUUGUUCUAUUAAUGUAAUAUAUUACAUUGAUUUUAUGUUGAGCCACCCUGUAUCCCUGGGAUAAAUCCCACUUGGUCAUGGUAAAUAAUCCUUUUAAUGUACUGUUGGAUUUUAUUUGCCAAUAUUAUGUUGAGCAUAUUUGCAUCUAUAUUAAUAUGAGAUAUUGGUCUGUAAUUUUCUUUUAUUGUCAUGUUUGUUCUUGGCUUUGGUAUCCAACUUGUGCUGGCCUCAUAGAAUGAAGUCACUGCUUUACAUUAAAUAUAAGUAAUAUGUAUUUAAUCAAUCCUAUUUUAUUUGUGUUCUCUUUUUUAAACAGUCUUACCUCUAUAUAUCUUAAGAAUAUAUAAUAUAACCUACAAAAUUUAUUAUUUAUUUAUUGGAGACAGGGUCUAGCUCUGUCACCCAGGAUAGAAUGUAGUGGCAUGAUUGUGGCUCACUGCAGCCUCUGCCUCCCAUGCUCAAACCAUCCUCCCAUCUCAGCCUCCUGAGUGAGUAGCUGGAACUACAGGUGUGCGCC
rnacentral:lncRNA from 10 species